CUGGAGCUUACCUGGGCUCUUUGGUGGGGCUAAUGACAGACUCUGGGAGGGCUCACGCCAAGGAGUACUUCCCAGAACUUCUGCUGCCAGUGUCCUUGUCCCCGUGGUGAGAUACAGCCACCCCCUGCCUCUGCAGGAGACCCUCCAACACUAGCAGUUUCAUUCGAAGUGCACCCGGCUCUUCAGACCAGAGUUCCUAGUGUGAAACGGCUACGCCCAACACCUCAGCUCGGCAGGCCGUGUGCACUAGUGCUACGCUCAACACUGCAGUCUGUUUCUUUUUUUUAUAUUAAUAAAAUUUUUUUAAUUGAAGUGUA